GUGGGGAAUUUUGGACAAUGGGCGAAAGCCUGAUCCAGCCAUGCCGCGUGCAGGAUGAAGGCCUUCGGGUUGUAAACUGCUUUUGUACGGAACGAAAAGACUCUGGUUAAUACCUGGGGUCCAUGACGGUACCGUAAGAAUAAGCACCGGCUAACUACGUGCCAGCAGCCGCGGUAAUACGUAGGGUGCAAGCGUUAAUCGGAAUUACUGGGCGUAAAGCGUGCGCAGGCGGUUAUAUAAGACAGAUGUGAAAUCCCCGGGCGCAACCUGGGAACUGCAUUUGGUACUGUAUAGCUAGAGUACGGCAGAGGGGGAUGGAAUUCCGCGUGUAGCAGUGAAAUGCGUGGAUAUGCGGAGGAACACCGAUGGCGAAGGCAAUCCCCUGGGCCUGUACUGACGCUCAUGCACGAAAGCGUGGGGAGCAAACAGGAUUAGAAACCCGUGUAGUCC
rnacentral:rRNA from 1 species